rnacentral:rRNA from 1 species
UACGUAGGUGGCGAGCGUUGUCCGGAUUUACUGGGCGUAAAGAGCGCGCAGGCGGUCGAUCAAGUCGGAUGUGAAAGCCCCCGGCUCAACUGGGGAGGGUCAUUCGAUACUGAUCGACUCGAAGGCAGGAGAGGGAAGCGGAAUUCCCGGUGUAGUGGUGAAAUGCGUAGAUAUCGGGAGGAACACCAGUGGCGAAGGCGGCUUCCUGGCCUGUUCUUGACGCUGAGGCGCGAAAGCUAGGGGAGCAAACGGG